CCCAUCGCUUACCCUCACCGUUCUCAAAACAGCUUCAAAUACUCUUCUCGUUCCUAGAAUUUGUCCUAAUCUUCCUCCUCCAAGAUGGCGAGAAUGAAGCAAACCGCGUAAGUCGACUGGUGGAAAUCCGGAAAUUCUCGAAGUUAACGUCACGACUUCCUCGGUUCUAUAUCGUCGACGGAUUCUUGAAUUUAGGUACGUAGAUUUGGGGAAGACAAACGAGGGCUCCGGACAUUAUAGACAAUGAACGGAAAGAGAAGGGCUUCAGACAUCCCUCGCUGGAGCACCAGCAGAUUUAUUCGGCGAUGAAGUGCGGGAAAAAGGUGCGAUAACGAGAUCCCACCGCUGCGUAACUUCAUCGCUGUAGAAGGCGGAGAGGGUUAUCGGCGAGCUUCCAUCGCUUAUCCGCAACAGGAUGCGAAAAAACGAGGCGGAGAAGAAGUACGAUCGCUCAGCAAAGGAAAAACUUGUUUUGGUGGUUUUUUUAAUUAUGAAAAGGAUUUCCAGCGGAAA